UAGAGUUUGAUCCUGGCUCAGAACGAACGUUAGCGGCGCGCUUAACACAUGCAAGUCGCACGAGAAAGGGCUUCGGCCCCGGUACAGUGGCGCACGGGUGAGUAACACGUGGGUAAUCUUCCCUUUGGCGGGGGAUAACCUUCCGAAAGGAGGGCUAAUACCGCAUAAGACCACGACUCCGAAAGGAGACGAGGUUAAAGCUGGCCUCUAUUCAUAAGCUAGCACCAAAGGAUGAGCCCGCGGCCCAUCAGGUAGUUGGUAGGGUAACGGCCUACCAAGCCUAAGACGGGUAGCUGGUCUGAGAGGAUGAUCAGCCACACUGGAACUGAGACACGGUCCAGACUCCUACGGGAGGCAGCAGUGGGGAAGCUUGCGCAAUGGACGAAAGUCUGACGCAGCGACGCCGCGUGGGUGAUGAAGGCCUUCGGGUUGUAAAGCCCUGUGGGGAGGGACGAAUAAGUAGAAGCUAACACCUUCUAUGAUGACGGUACCUCCUUAGCAAGCACCGGCUAACUCUGUGCCAGCCGCCGCGGUAAUUC
rnacentral:rRNA from 1 species